GUGUUCACUCUGGCAGCGCAUAUACUAAAAUGGGAAAGAUGCAGAGAAGAUGAACAUGGCCUCUGCACAAGGAUGACAUGACCAUUUGUGAAUCGUGUCAUAUUUUU
rnacentral:snRNA from 1 species